GUUCAGUUGUUCAGAGUCCUGUUCGGUUUUUCAGAUCCAUCAUCAUCAUCUUCAAAUAACCUCACAACAAUUUCCCUAAAUAAACUCACAGAUCCAUACACCAGUUCAGUUGUUCAGAGCCCUGUUGUUGUUGUUGAUGAAAUCUCAAAUCCUGUUCAUAUAAUCGAUGAAAUCAUGGUUUAUUAACAAAAUCUCAAAUCCUGUUGGAAAAUAAGGUUACUUACUUUGAAUCUUCAAACAUCAAUCCACAGGACUGAGGUUAAAUCAAUCGACAGAAUCGAUGGUCGCGAUUGAAGGAUAGAAUCAGUGGUUUGUUGGGAUGAUCGCAGGGUCGGUCAUACCGGCAACAGUUGGGUUGUCAAGAUUCUUGAUAAAAUCCUAAAAAGCAUGUUCUCAUAUUACUGUAGGAAAGAGAUUGCUUUGGUUUUCGAUUCAAGUGAAAGCCAAUACUUUAAUUGUUGGUUCUGCUAAGGAUUCUUGACUGUGCUUUGUCUUAACAAUAGGCAUUAUGAGAUCUGCCUCAUACCAACCAUUGCAAUGAAUUAGAUUUGUUUUCUUU
rnacentral:lncRNA from 1 species